rnacentral:misc_RNA from 1 species
CCGAGUUAUACAACUCAUCAACCCCUGUGAACAUACCUAAACUUGUUGCUUCGGCGGGAAUCAGACGCUCCCGGUAACAACGGGCCGGCCCCCGCCAGAGGACCCCUAACUCUGUUUUUAUAAUGUUUUUCUGAGUAAACAAGCAAAUAAAUUA